GCAGCACAAAGUUACUUGUUAAUGGCAUACAAGCAGAAAUAAUAUAUUAAUGGCUUUGAUCUCUCUAACCUCUGUUGGUCUUCUCUCAGUUCCCCCUAUUGGUCCCUUUGGGAUCUCCCUUUGUCUCUCUUCCUCAGCCUUACUCAGUGAAUGGCCUGUGCCAGCUCCAUCCAAGAACUGACGAAUCAACAUCCCAGCCGGCAGGAAGGACACGAAUAUGAAUCAUCCCCUCCCAGACCUCCAGACGACUUCUAUAUGACCAUGAUGCAGGGGACAACAAGUAUCUAUGUAAAUGAAGAUCAAGACAAACACCUCAAACUGAACAUCCAGACACAGCCAAGGCCCAUGAGAACAAAGGAGCCCAGAAGAGAGUCGCCUGUGGUGGAAUAUUUUUAUGAAAACCAUCCAGUCUCUAACUGAAAGAAAAGCACAAAAUUGUAUCUGGGGCCAGAAAUAACAACCAGAAAUAACAACAAGACACAACCCUUUUCCUGGACAUCAGGGGUCACACAGUUGCAGUUUAUGAACAAGAGAGUUUUCUUUUUGUGCCUACAUGAAAUUCUAUAGAGACUAAAAGUAAUUGGAUGGAGAAAGAACUUGUUUGCAAUCGUGCCUCUGAGAUGUAGAAGCAAAAUCAGAUUCCACUGGAGUACCCCAAGUUCUCUGAAAGAGAUGGUUUUGCUGUUCUCCUACAUUAAUUCAUUUUAAUAAAGAACAUCUAAAUCCCUGCAGUGAUACUGAUGGUAGAAAAGAGCAGCCAGAGAGUUGGUUGCAGUCCCAGGUAACUGAGUUCCUUUGCCUCAACCUUCAAAAAACAGGA